GACGAACGCUGGCGGCGUGCUUAACACAUGCAAGUCGAACGGCAAGGCCCUGCUUUUGUGGGGUUCUCGAGUGGCGAACGGGUGAGUAACACGUGAGUAACCUGCCCUUGACUUUGGGAUAACUUCAGGAAACUGGGGCUAAUACCGUAUAGCAUCUCCUGCUGCAUGGUGGGGGUUGGAACGUUUCGGCGGUAGGGGAUGGAUUCGCGGCUUACGAGCUUGUUGGUGGGGUAGUGGCUUACCAAGGCUUUGACGGGUAGCCGGCAUGUGAGGGUGAACGGGGACAAUAGUACUGAGAGACGGAGCAGAGUCGUAUGUGAGGCAGCAGGGGGGAACAUGACACAAUGAGAGGAAGUCGGAUGAGAAAACGCCGCGGGCGGGAUGACGGCCUUCGGGGUAUAAAAAGCUGUAGCCUGUGACGAAGCGUGAGUGACGGUAAUGGGUAAAGAAGCACCGGCUAACUACGUG
rnacentral:rRNA from 1 species